rfam:Schistosoma rodhaini strain Burundi genome assembly, scaffold: SROB_scaffold0003822
AUCCAGCUGUCGGAUCACAAAUAGGACGAAACGCGCGUCCUGGAU